AAUUUUCUAAGAGGAUCGAACUUUAUUAGUACACUUGUUACCCGUUACGUUACCUCCUGUAAUGUGUAUUUAAAAACAGCUUUUCUGCCCAUAAAUCAAGAUAAUGAUUGUGUCAGUCACCGAAGUACUUACUGGUAACCCCAACACUCCAGAGCAGGGCACAUGUGGGUAGGUCUCCUCGGGCAGGUGUACAGGAUCCUCAGGUCCAUCGGGAGGAGGUCCACAUCGUGAAAGACCAGGCAGUCCCAGUUGCCGAACCUCUGGGUCUCUAGGUAGCCGAUAUUGUACAACGCGCCUUUAUUGAAUUUGUGCUUAUCUGGUGAAACAUUUAACUAACAUGAACGCGCGCCAUUAUCCCUGCACGAGUGCCUGGACUCUCCCCCGUCUAAAACAGGGUACAGACGCAGCUGGUUCCUGGUUUUUCUCCUGGCUCCCCUGGCGUAUUACCUGGUCGUCGCAUGUAUUGACACCACACCUGUGACACAUACUAAUCAAAUGUCCGAGAUGGAACAAGAACAACAUUCGUUUAUGUCCGUGCCUGUAAGCUUCAAUUCGGUGUUUCUGUUGCGUCAAGAAAGUAA